AGGGGUUUGGAUCCUGGCUCAGAACGAACGCUGGCGGCGUGGAUGAGGCAUGCAAGUCGGACGGGAUUACUUGGACGGAUCCUUCGGGUGAAGACCUUGUAUGAGAGUGGCGAACUGGUGAGGAACACGUGGGCAAUCUGCCCUUAUGUCUGGGAUAGCCCUUCGAAAGGAGGAGUAAUACCGGAUGUGGUCGCCCCGCACCUGCGGGGUUGUCUAAAGGUGGGGAUCUUCGGACCUGCCGCAUAUGGAUGGGCCCGCGUCCUAUCAGCUUGUUGGUGAGGUAACGGCUCACCAAGGCUUAGACGGGUAGCUGGUCUGAGAGGAUGGUCAGCCACACUGGGACUGAGACACUGCCCAGACUCCUACGGGAGGCUGCAGUCGAGAAUCAUUCGCAAUGCACGAAAGUGUGACGAUGCGACGCCGCGUGGAGGAUGACGGCCUUCGGGUUGUAAACUCCUGUCAUGAAGGAAAAACGAUCACGGGGUGAAUAGUCUCGUGGUGUGAUGGUACUUCAAGAGGAAGCCACGGCUAACUCUGUGCCAGCAGCCGCGGUAAUACAGAGGUGGCGAGCGUUGUUCGGAUUUACUGGGCGUAAAGGGUGCGUAGGCGGCUUUGUAUGUCGGAUGUGAAAUCUCACCGUUCAACGGUGAAACUGCAUUCGAAACUGCAGGGCUAGAGUACAGGAGAGGAAAGUGGAAUUCUCGGUGUAGCGGUGAAAUGCGUGGAUAUCGAGAGAACGCCGAUGGCGAAGGCAACUUUCUAGACUGAUACU
rnacentral:rRNA from 1 species